rnacentral:ncRNA from 1 species
ACGGAACUCUGGAGAGACUUGCGAUAUGCAAGCGCCGAAGGUGCAAGGCAUGGUAUACAUGCUCAAACUCUCAGGCAAAAGGACAGGGA